AGUGGGGAAUAUUGCACAAUGGAGGAAACUCUGAUGCAGCAACGCCGCGUGGAGGAUGACACAUUUCGGUGCGUAAACUCCUUUUAUUAGGGAAGAUAAUGACGGUACCUAAUGAAUAAGCACCGGCUAACUCCGUGCCAGCAGCCGCGGUAAUACGGGGGGUGCAAGCGUUACUCGGAAUCACUGGGCGUAAAGAGCAUGUAGGCUGGUAAUUAAGUUGGAAGUGAAAUCCUAUGGCUCAACCAUAGAACUGCUUCCAAAACUGAUUGCCUAGAGUAUGGGAGAGGUAGAUGGAAUUUCUGGUGUAGGGGUAAAAUCCGUAGAGAUCAGAAGGAAUACCGAUUGCGAAGGCGAUCUACUGGAACAUUACUGACGCUGAGAUGCGAAAGCGUGGGGAGCAAACAGGAUUAGAUACCCUGGUAGUCCACGCCCUAAACGAUGCACACUAGUUGUUGCUAUGCUAGACAUAGCAGUAAUGCAGUUAACACAGUAAGUGUGCCGCCUGGGGAGUACGGUCGCAAGAUUAAAACUCAAAGGAAUAGACGGGGACCCGCACAAGCGGUGGAGCAUGUGGUUUAAUUCGACGAUACGCGAAGAACCUUACCUGGCCUUGACAUAGAAAGAACUUUCCAGAGACGGAUUGGUGCUAGUUUACUAGAGCUUUCAUACAGGUGCUGCACGGCUGUCGUCAGCUCGUGUCGUGAGAUGUUGGGUUAAGUCCCGCAACGAGCGCAACCCUCGUGUUUAGUUACUAACAGUUCGGCUGAGGACUCUAAACAGACUGCCUGGGCAACCAGGAGGAAGGUGAGGACGACGUCAAGUCAUCAUGGCCCUUACGGCCAGGGCUACACACGUGCUACAAUGGGGUAUACAAAGAGCCGCGAUACCGUGAGGUGGAGCAAAUCUCAUAAAAUAUCUCCCAGUUCGGAUUGAAGUCUGCAACUCGACUUCAUGAAGUUGGAAUCGCUAGUAAUCGUGAAUCAGCAACGUCACGGUGAAUACGU
rnacentral:rRNA from 1 species